ACGAGUGAGAGGACAUUUUGACUUGAAAAAGACUGUACUUGAGUCUUGUACAUGUCCCACAGAGGUGAAUUCAAAAUGGACUUGUUUUCUCCAUGGUGCUGGAAAAAUUGACUUUUUUAUUUUUCGGUGGAGUUUGCAUCUGUCCUGUCACCUGGAGAAGACUUGUUUCCUGCUACCUCUAGAAAACGUGUACUUGGAGAUUCACACAGUCUUCUGUAUUUCCAGAGCAUUCAGAAGUGUAGGACUCAAGUGGACUGAAGGCUAGACUCUUGUACUGACUGUUUCCUACAAAGUGGACCCUGGUCUAGGGCAGCCUUCUUGAGAAGUGGACCCUGGUCAUGUGCAGGCUCCUGGAGAAUUAGACCCUGGUCAUGUGCAGGCUCCUGGAGAAUUAGACCCUUGUCAUGUGCAGCCUCCUGGAGAAAUGGACCCUGGUCAUGUGCAGCCUCCUGGAGAAGUGGACCCUGGUCAUGUGCAGCCUCCUGGAGAAGUGGACCCUGGUUUCCUACAGUCUCCUGGAGAAUUUGACCCUUGUCUCAAGCAGCCUUCUGGAGAAUUAGACCCUGGUCAUGUUCAGGCUCUUGGAGAAUUGGACCCUGGUCAUGUUCAGGCUCUUGGAGAAUUAGACCCUGGUCAUGUUCAGGCUCUUGGAGAAUUAGACCCUGGUCAUGUGCAGCCUCCUGGAGAAAUAGACCCUGGUCAUGUGCAGCCUCCUGUAGAAGUGGACCUUGGUCAUGUGCAGCCUCCUGUAGAAGUGGACCUUGGUCAUGUGCAGCCUCCUGUAGAAGUGGACCUUGGUCAUGUGCAACCUCCUGGAGAAGUGGACGUGGUCUCAGGCAGCCUCCUGGAGAAGUGGACCCUGGUCAUGUGCAGCCUCCUGGAGAAAUCGACCCUGGUCUCCUGCAGGGUCCUAAAGAAGUGGACUUAAAAAAGAGACUUGGAUGCUUUUUGUCAAAUGAAGGAAUAUCCUACAUCAUUCCUAAAUGGUUUUACGUUUGGACUUGGAUGGAGGAACUUUCAACAUUUGUUUGUUCAGUAAUCUUAAAUUGCUGUAGUUCUUCACUGAGGAGGAGAUCAUCUCAGCAAUAGAAACCAUUGAGUCUCAAAAUCACAGCUUGUACAGAUUUUCGGUGGAUUAAGUCUAUUUGGCUCAGUGACGCCUUCUACUGGACGGAAGAGCUCGAGCUCAAGAUCAAGGCCAGACUUGAAGACGUCCAAAAGACUGAACCCACAGCUUCUCAAAAUCCUUGUAAUUUUUUGCUCGAUGUGUGCUGAUAAUCAGAUAAACAAUACAUCAUUAUAUUCAGUGUAUAACAGCUGCCAGGCUUCUUAUAGGCUAUGACACAAGUUGAGGAUUGAACCCAGGUGCUCAAGACCCAUGUUUCUGUGUGGCACCCAUGCUACCAGCUACAAAGUUGGGACACUCCAUGUUUUGUCCAAGACUUUUUCCUAUGCUUUUUGCUUUUGGCCUCUGUGCAGCAGUUCUGCACAGCAGGACUUUCGAAGACCCCUGGUUUUGUGGGCAUCUGCAGGUCUGAGUGCAGAGUUUUAGUUGUUUAGUCAGUUUAGAUGUUUAAUUAGGCACUGGCAUCUUCAUUGUGAAACAUUCAGUCAUAAGAGCUACUGAGUUAAUUUUUUGAGUUUUUUGCAUAAAGAUGUUUGUGUUGAACCAAACCAAAGCAGCACUCUUGUUUGUGCUCAAUGCCUCAUUGGUUCUGUACAGUACUCAUUCACCUUCAACAAAGAGCUUAUUGUGCAGUUUUUUCUUUUCUUUUAAAUCUAGUCGUAUCUCAUGUCAAGUCUUCCUAUCCUGACAGAGGAGAGUCACAGACUAUCCGGCACACAUGCAGUUGCCAGACACUUCUUUUCACCUGCCAGAGAUGACAGUCUCACAAAGUGUAAAAAUAAUUAACAGUCUCUCAUGUAGGCCGUGCCCUGCCAGAUAAUAGCACAGCUGAGAUUUGUCCUUGACAGCUUCAGAUCUCAGUGAUAGUGGGCUAGUGUGUUAGACCUCUAUAGCUCUCUGAUUGUUUAGUUUUAGGAUGCUGCACAUCAGCAUGUGUCCUGAGAACCUGGGUUCAAUCCUAAACAUUUGGCUGUUGUCAAUAAGGAGUUGCUCAAAAUGACCCCCAAGUGUGGGCAAAUACAUGAUUGGUUGCUGCCCUGCCUGGUACCCGGCACACUGCAACCCUUAUCAGAAGGAAGCAGUUACUGAAAGUGAAUUGGUAGUUUGCCUGUUUGUAUUGCUUUGGCCUGGGUAAUUCGCUUGCUAGGCAGCUUAAGAAAUUGUUACCAGUCUAAAAUACCUGAUGUAAUAGUAAACGUCACCACAGUAAAACUUCACCACAGUUGAGCUAAACACUAAACACCAGUUUUAAUUACACACUUAACAAAAGUUGACCCAUUUUUUAUUAGCAAGUCUGAGUUCAGCUUUUUAAUAUAAUAAGUCGUCACCAGGUGUGACAAAUGUAAUUGUUGGCAGAAUGUCACCUAGACUAUCAUUUGGAUCCUGGUGCAUAAACAAAUAGUAGUCAGAUUUUAGAUUCACAUAUUAGAUAAGUAUAAAUGACAAUAUAAUCACCAUGUUACAAAUUGAUUUCUGGACUUAUUUUUACAGUAAAAUUGAAAAGCAUGACUAGCUAGUUUUAAUCAGUAUAUGAACGAGUAAUUGGUCAUCGCACAUGACUACCAUUUUUAAAUGACGUGCAGGAUAAGCUGAUAAUAGCUAGUUUGGAAAAUUGACUGGUUUUAAUCAUGCAACAAACAUGGUUUUAUCUUUACUACAGGAUUAAGAAUGAGUUAGCUUCUUGUUGUUGCCUACUGUUGGUUGUACCAAAAAUAGAUUCUGAUUAAGUUUUUCUACCCCUAGCAGGCUUGAUAUUGUGAUUCAGUUUAUUAGCUGGCUUCCUAAAUAAAGUAUUCGGCUACAGGUUUUUACCCAAUAGUAAACCUUUAGGUAGCUAGCAAACCUUGUUCCUGGAUUUGAAGAGCUUGCUAAUGAUCCAUGUGUAAACUGUUUUCUCAAAACUCGUUUACAAUACUCAUUGUGUAUUAAACCGUUUAUAAUGCUAAGCAAGACUUCAGUCUAAAGCCAUGGGAAGAACCUCUGGCAGCUUUGUGAUUGGCUGAUCACAUGUAUCCUAAGCCCUGCCCAUUUAAACCACAUUUUGAGUAGAUCAGACUGCAGGGAGCUGUGACGUGUAAAUAAUGUAAAUGAUCUUUUUCUUCUCUUUGGUUGAAUGUUCCUGUUUUCUCAUGCUAAUUCAUUAUUGCCAGAUACCUAGGACCCCUCCCUUUCCUAAGACGUUUCCAAUCAGACUCUUAUACUGAAUACUGAUUUUCUUAAUAACGCUGAACAGUUUGAAGGUAAUGUGGAGUUAGAGAUGUGUUUGCUCUUGCUCAGGGUUCACUUCCAGUGGAUGAGUAACACUGAGGGUACAGGGCAGGGUGUAAACUUAAUUUUGGGGGAGUAGUGUGUGUUUGAAUUUUUUUUUUUAAAAGUGUGAAAUGAAAAAUAAAGUUUUUAAACUGUAA